UUAUGCAUAACUUAAAGUAUAAGAUUAAUGUCAUGUAAAACAUCAUAAAAUGCGGUCAUGUUUAAGAAUAACUGUAAUUAUUACAUUAGUAAUAAUGUCCGUGGCCGGUUCUUUGGGAAUUAUUCCCAACAAUCCAGCGAAUUAUUUAAAGUAUUUUAAUUUGAAAAACUUUAAUAUUUUAUUUCCCAGAUAUAAUACUCGAUGUGUGCUACACGAAAAAGACCAUUUCAAUAUAAUCAGCAGUGACGGUGCUGUCUUAGUGGCAAUUAAAGCGUAAUGUGGAAACUGAAAUAAUAAAACAAUCAAUGUUAGAUAUACCUAAUUCUGUUUAAUGUUUGAAAUCCAAUGGAUCUGUUUAAAAAUAAAAUCGAAAGUUAAUGAGAACUA